rnacentral:rRNA from 1 species
CCUACGGUGUGCUGCAGUGGGGAAUAUUGGACAAUGGGCGAAAGCCUGAUCCAGCCAUGCCGCGUGUGUGAAGAAGGCCUUCGUGUUGUAAAGCACUUUCAGUGGGGAAGAAAGCCUUGGGGCUAAUACCCUCGAGGAAGGACAUCACCCACAGAAGAAGCACCGGCUAACUCCGUGCCAGCAGCCGCGGUAAUACGGAGGGUGCGAGCGUUAAUCGGAAUUACUGGGCGUAAAGCGCGCGUAGGCGGUCUGAUAAGCCGGUUGUGAAAGCCCCGGGCUCAACCUGGGAACGGCAUCCGGAACUGUCAGGCUAGAGUGCAGGAGAGGAAGGUAGAAUUCCCGGUGUAGCGGUGAAAUGCGUAGAGAUCGGGAGGAAUACCAGUGGCGAAGGCGGCCUUCUGGACUGACACUGACGCUGAGGUGCGAAAGCGUGGGUAGCAAACAGGAUUAGAUACCCCUGUAGUC